rnacentral:rRNA from 1 species
CUCAGGAUGAACGCUAGCGGCAGGCCUAACACAUGCAAGUCGAGGGGUAACAGGGAGCUUGCUCCGCUGACGACCGGCGCACGGGUGCGCAACGCGUAUGCAAUCUACCUCUUACUAAGGGAUAGCCCAGAGAAAUUUGGAUUAAUAUCUUAUGUGAUAUGUGACUGGCAUCGGUUGCAUAUUAAAGGUUACGGUAAGAGAUGAGCAUGCGUCUCAUUAGUUAGUUGGUAAGGUAACGGCUUACCAAGACUUCGAUGAGUAGGGGUCCUGAGAGGGAGAUCCCCCACACUGGUACUGAGACACGGACCAGACUCCUACGGGAGGCAGCAGUGAGGAAUAUUGGACAAUGGACGGAAGUCUGAUCCAGCCAUGCCGCGUGUAGGAAGACUGCCCUAUGGGUUGUAAACUACUUUUAUACAGGAAGAAUAAGAUCUACGUGUAGAUUGAUGACGGUACUGUAAGAAUAAGGACCGGCUAACUCCGUGCCAGCAGCCGCGGUAAUACGGAGGGUCCGAGCGUUAUCCGGAAUUAUUGGGUUUAAAGGGUCCGUAGGCGGGCUGUUAAGUCAGAGGUGAAAUGCUGCGGCUCAACCGUAUGCACUGCCUUUGAUACUGGCGGUCUUGAGUUAUAGUGAAGUGGCUAGAAUAAGUAGUGUAGCGGUGAAAUGCAUAGAUAUUACUUAGAAUACCGAUUGCGAAGGCAGGUCACUAACUAUACACUGACGCUGAUGGACGAAAGCGUGGGUAGCGAACAGGAUUAGAUACCCUGGUAGUCCACGCCGUAAACGAUGGAUACUAGCUGUUCGGUUUUCGGACUGAGCGGCCAAGCGAAAGUGAUA